rnacentral:lncRNA from 1 species
GAAGAGUCUCAGAUCUCAUCAUACGGAUCCUGUCUUUCCUCUUGGCAUUGUCACUUCUUUUAGAAGAUCAAGCAUCUGUUCUUAUCUCCCACACUAGUGUCAGUGGGCAGAAGGAUGCAGCAGCCUGCCUGCCCUGCUCCUGCGCUGUCAGUCUCAACUGAGGAAUAAGCAGGAGGAGCUUGGAGACAAGAUCUGGGCCUGUCCUCAUCUCUGUCACACUUAUAAAUCUGGAGAAAUUCCACUUGUUCCUUGAGGACACGCAAGGAUUUUAUUACAGCAGUGUUGAAAACUGGAAUCCGGCACAUCAGAUUAACAUAAAAUGCAAGGGAAAAGUACCCAGCAACAAGCAAAGGGCAAUACAGAAAAUAGGAGCUACUCAAAGUGGAGCACAGGCUGGAUUUUUUCCCCGUGGUUGUGAAGGCAGCUCCAUUUUGAAGAAGGAAGUUCAGUAA